GAUGAACGCUGGCGGCGUGCCUAAUACAUGCAAGUCGAGCGAACAGACGAGGAGCUUGCUCCUCUGACGUUAGCGGCGGGCGGGUGAGUAACACGUGGAUAACCUACCUAUAAGACUGGGAUAACUUCGGGAAACCGGAGCUAAUACCGGAUAAUAUAUUGAACCGCAUGGUUCAAUAGUGAAAGACGGUUUUGCUGUCACUUAUAGAUGGAUCCGCGCCGCAUUAGCUAGUUGGUAAGGUAACGGCUUACCAAGGCAACGAUGCGUAGCCGACCUGAGAGGGUGAUCGGCCACACUGGAACUGAGACACGGUCCAGACUCCUACGGGAGGCAGCAGUAGGGAAUCUUCCGCAAUGGGCGAAAGCCUGACGGAGCAACGCCGCGUGAGUGAUGAAGGUCUUCGGAUCGUAAAACUCUGUUAUUAGGGAAGAACAAAUGUGUAAGUAACUAUGCACGUCUUGACGGUACCUAAUCAGAAAGCCCCGGCUAACUACGUG
rnacentral:rRNA from 1 species